CACAACUAGAAGACUGGGUCUAACAAUGCUUAGCAAUAACCAUUUUAUGUGAGAGGACACAUGAGAUCCAGGUGGCCACAGAAGACAUAUUUAUGUCCAAAAACUGGAGAAAAACCAUGAAGAGUUAAAUAAGGUGUUGCAUAUGAUCCAGUCAUCCUCAUCCUUUAAAAGGUAAUGGAAAGAGACACAUAUCCCCAAAGGCCAGCAAUCAGUUUCUGAGACUUCUACUUGAGGAACAGAAGAACCAUCUACAGGUGUCUUCUUCAUUCAUCAAGGAUGGAAAGAAGCCUGUAAAGUCACAAGGAUCCAUCACCUCAACCUGUGAUGUGGGCAGACCUGGAAAAGGCAAAGUGAGAAAAUGUCCUGGGGAAGAAAUGUGGUAAGCAAGAGCCAAGAUUUCAGGUGGCUGCUACAGUAGUCCAACAUAUAUUUUUUGGCAAUGCUCUGGAGUCUAAUGGAUUCCAGUUUCUGUGGUAUUUGAACUCAGUCAAAGAUGUUGUCUCAGAAGAACACAGCAAAGAGAGAUAUUUUUUUUCUUUUACAGAAGCUAGAAGAACAUUUUUGUGAUAAUUUUCCCUUGGUCAAGUAAAUACUAGUACCCGAGGAAAACACAGAAAUAGAAAAAGAAUAGAGGCUACUUUUACUAGCAAUGAAAAGGCUGCAUCUUUCUGAAAGCAUACCUUUCAUACAUUGAAAGAUUCCAUGUGAUGAGGUCCUGGAAUGAAGUAGAGACUCAAGAAAGCUGGUUAAUAUUCAAAGAUCACCUCCUACAAGGUAAAGAGAGCUCAUUCAUAAUGAAUAAGACAUCAAGAAAAAAUGGUUCCUGCCAAACUCAAACACAAAAUAGAAACACAGAGACUGGAAGCAAGGAUGAAUAACCUGGGAGAAAUAUAGAAACAUGCAAUGAACAUCCAGGCUUAAAGUUAGGAAAGCUGAAGCCCAAAUGGAAUAGCUUCUGUCCAGGGAUGCCAAAGGCAGGACUUCUGAACGUAGAGUUCGAAGUUACCUCCAGCAUUUUUGAAUCCAGUGGAGUUCUUCACAGGCAACCAUUUAAUCCAAUGCGGUUCACAGAGUUUAUAUGAUUGCUUAAAAGAAGCUGAAAGUCUGCUUUUAAUUUGAAAACUGGUUUUGAAUUCCAAUUCCAGUAUGUGAGAGAUUUUUUUCAAUUUUUUCAACACUGAGAUAAAUGUAUUCUUGGCUUUCUGAACAUCCUACAUGAAUCCUUAGCUGAUAUUUUCUCUAACAGACUUACAGAGCAAUACCUCCUUUUCUUCAUUUUUUCUGUAAUAAGCAAGCCAUGCUCUUUUGUCUUCUAAUCAUA